rnacentral:lncRNA from 1 species
CUUAGAGGUAGAGAAAAGAAACAAAUGACCUUUAGGAGGGAGCAUCUAUUUAUAAUGUAUAAGGUUGACCUAUGAUCAAUAGGAGAAUACCACCCGAGCCUGACAGUAACGUGACCGAUGAUCAAACACCAUUUGCUGAGUAAUUGUUGGGAAAUGCCAUCCAAAUAUUCUAUAUCUAGUACAGACCUAUUAAGGAUCAUCCGCACACCUGAGAUCCUUUGGUACACAGUAGCUAUAGUUGGUGGACCUAUAGUACCUAUGGUUAGACCGAGAGGCUAUUUUUCCUUAUAACUCAUUUUGGUGUCAUUUUCUGGGUGUCCCGAUCACAAGCAAGGCUGUCAACUUUACCCACCCCGAGAUAUUACACAUUCACUACUCCUAUUUUACCCCCAUACAGAACCUUCUUUCAAACAUGUUUAUGAAUUAUUUAUAAGUGUAUUAAAAAGAUCUCAAAUAAAAUAAUCGAGUUCAAAAUAAAUUUGAAGAAAUUAAAUUUCAAAAUGGCCCUACUCGCAUACUGAGCCAAAAUUCUAGUCAAACACUUUUUUCUUUGGUUUUCCAUCCGGUGUCGGGUACCCGCAAUGGAGCCCCGACUAAUUCAGAUCGCGCAUUGUAGGGCCCAUUAAGGUGGCAGUGCUCUCAAAAGAGUUUUCUCUAUACCCAGGGUCAAAUCCCGACCUCUGAUUAAGGAUGAAACAGCCUCAUCCACUGCACCACAACCCAUGUUGAUAGUCAACCACUUUUCGCUACUUCUCAAACUCUUUUGUUCGUUCCUUUCUUUUUUUGGUUCCUUUUAUUUGCUCUUUAAUUCUUUUUAUCUGAUUUUAUUUCAAUUCUCUUUGGC